UAAAUGACAUAAUCCAUGUAAGUUCAGCACCAAGACAAGGGUAUAUUAAGAUUUAAAUAAAAGCCAGCCAUUAUUGUUCUAGCUCUGACAUGGUAAGACUUUGUGUGGUUCCUCCACGUUCUUUUCACUAAGCCCUUCGAACUUCUGUGUUGCCCCAAAUAUAGUGAUAUUAGAGAUGGCUUCUUUACUCUUUUUCUCAAAUACGUUUCCUGAAAAUGGAAAAGAUGUGUCCACGGUAACCAGAGAGAGGUGACCAGCAGAGAUGGAGGGAGAAAGGUUGGCUCGGAAGUGGUCCAGAAUAUGUGAGCCUGGAGUAACUGUGUCAGCGCCUUUCUAGGCAGCUGCCACAGGAGAGCCAGCAGAUUCCACCUUCCAGGAUUUCAGAGAACCGAGACCAUGGGUGUUGACUAGGUUUUCACAAAGGAUCCUGCCCUGGUUGGGCUGCUUUGAAUCCCGCCUGCCAGACCCAAGUCUUACGAUCCAAACCGGGAAUGAGCUGCUACUAUGGAAAGUGAGAUUUUUACUGCAGGAUUAAGAAACCAUCGCACUUUUUCAAUUGCAUCAGGCCUGACGUCCCCGGGAUUGACUAGUCAGCUCAUUUAAACCAGACAGUUUCAGGAAGCCAUGCACACUGCCAGGGGCCAAGGAGAAGCUGGGAGGUCACGGUGGUAGCAAUGCGCUCCAGCAUCACGGGAGCCAAGCAAUUGCUGGCGGCCCUGGGUCUGCUCCCUUCCAAUAGGAGAAAGACCAGCUUUCCUUCGACAUCAGGAGAUCCUCCCAGCCAAUGCGAGGCCAGACCCCGGUGACUCACCCCACAGUGUGGGGUUUCUCAAGCAGAUGUUCCUGGACCACAUGAAAAGCUGGCAGAGCACUGGGAAGUGUCCUGGGGACACCUGGCACUCUGUCAGGAUCCAGGGACAGGAACCAAGGCUCAGAUUUCCAAUCCCCGGGAUGGAGACCAAGCCGAGAAAGAGCUAUUAUCAAGUCAAUGAGGCAUCUGACAACUGGUUAAGGACGAACAGGUUGACGCACAUAAACAAGGGAGAAAAUCAACCAGGAAACAACCUCGCCCCACAGCAAGUUUCCCUGCAUUUUUACCACCCACAAUCCUUUUUGCUAUUUUUCUUCUCCUUGACCUUGGGUUUUGACGGUUUUUAUCUACCAAAUUCCAUUUGUUAUAAAUGUUUCCUCCAUUUUUUAAAUAAUUAAAAACAAAUAGCAACUCAUACGCCAGUGUUCAGAGCCCCAUUAUGCACAGUAGCCAAAAGGUGGAAGCAACCUAAAUAUCCACCGAUGGAGGAAUGGAUAAACUAAACGUGGUCCAGCCAUGUGAUGGGAGAUGAUUCAGACUUCAAAAGGACACGCGUGGGGGCCGGCCCCGUGGCCAAGUGGUCAAAGAUCCACGUGUGCUCCACUUCAGCGGCCUGGGGUUCACAGGUUCAGAUCCCGGGAGUGGACCUACUCCACUCA
rnacentral:lncRNA from 1 species